GACGAAGGGGGCUAGCGUUGUUCGGAAUUACUGGGCGUAAAGCGCGCGUAGGCGGUCUUUCAAGUCAGGAGUGAAAGCCCCGGGCUCAACCCGGGAAUAGCUCUUGAUACUGUUGGACUUGAGUCCGGGAGAGGAUAGUGGAAUUCCCAGUGUAGAGGUGAAAUUCGUAGAUAUUGGGAAGAACACCAGUGGCGAAGGCGGCUAUCUGGACCGGUACUGACGCUGAGGCGCGAAAGCAUGGGGAGCGAACAGG
rnacentral:rRNA from 1 species